UAACUGAAGAGUUUGAUCAUGGCUCAGAUUGAACGCUGGCGGCAGGCUUAACACAUGCAAGUCGAGCGGGGGAA
rnacentral:rRNA from 1 species